rnacentral:rRNA from 1 species
GAAUAUUGCACAAUGGGCGCAAGCCUGACGCAGCUACGCCGCGCGAGAGAACACGGCCUUCGGGUUGUAACCCCCUUUCCGUAGGGAAGAAGCGAGAGCGACGGCACCUGCAGAAGAAGCGCCGGCUAACUACGCGCCCGCAGCCGCGGUAAUCCGUAGGGCGCAAGCGUUAUCCGGAUUUAUUGGGCUGAAAGAGCUCGUAGGCGGUUUGUCGCGUCUGCCGUGAAAGUCCGAGGCUCAACCUCGGAUCUGCGGUGGGUACGGGCAGACUAGAGUGAUGUAGGGGAGACUGGAAUUCCUUGUGUAGCGGUGAAAUGCGCAGAUAUCAGGAGGAACACCGAUGGCGAAGGCAGGUCUCUGGGCAUUUACUGACGCUGAGGAGCGAAAGCAUGGGGAGCGGAC